CUGCUGCCUUCCGUAGGAGUCUGGUCCGUGUCUCAGUACCAGUGUGGGGGACCUUCCUCUCAGAACCCCUACGCAUCGUCGCCUCGGUGGGCCGUUACCCCGACGACUAGCUAAUGCGACGCAUGGCCAUCCUAUGCCGGAGUCGCCUCCUUUGACCACCUGGAGAUGUCUCCAAAUGGUGUUAUGCGGUAUUAGACGGAAUUUCUUCCGCUUAUCCCCCUGCAUAGGGCCAGGUUCCAUACGUGUUACUCA
rnacentral:rRNA from 1 species